AACGAACGCUGGCGGCAUGCCUAACACAUGCAAGUCGAACGAGACCUUCGGGUCUAGUGGCGCACGGGUGCGUAACGCGUGGGAACCUGCCCUUAGGUUCGGAAUAACUCCCCGAAAGGGGUGCUAAUACCGGAUAAUGUCUUCGGACCAAAGAUUUAUCGCCUUUGGAUGGGCCCGCGUUGGAUUAGCUAGUUGGUAGGGUAAAAGCCUACCAAGGCGACGAUCCGUAGCUGGUCUGAGAGGAUGAUCAGCCACACUGGGACUGAGACACGGCCCAGACUCCUACGGGAGGCAGCAGUGGGGAAUAUUGGACAAUGGGCGAAAGCCUGAUCCAGCAAUGCCGCGUGAGUGAUGAAGGCCUUAGGGUUGUAAAGCUCUUUUACCCGGGAUGAUAAUGACAGUACCGGGAGAAUAAGCUCCGGCUAACUCCG
rnacentral:rRNA from 1 species